rnacentral:rRNA from 1 species
CACGCUGUAAACGUUGAGUGCUAAGUGUUGGGGAGACCCAGUGCUGAAGUAAACACAUUAAGCACUCCGCCUGAGGAGUACGUUCGCAAGAAUGAAACUCAAAGGAAUUGACGGGAGCCCGCACAAGCGGUGGAGCAUGUGGUUUAAUUCGACGCAACGCGAAGAACCUUACCAGGUCUUGACAUCCGACGCAAGACACUAGAGAUAGUGGGAUAGUUAUGGUCGAGACAGGUGG